AACGCAAAUUGCGCCCGCGUCUUCGGACAAGGGCAUGUCUGCCUCAGCGUCGGGUUAAUACUCGCAAUCCAAACCCCUGUGGUUUGCUCAUUGCGGACCUGGCCGUCCCGAUUGAUUUAAUUCCUUCGGGUCGGCUGAAGAACAGAGGUUGACGCAUGGACCCGAUAUGGGCCUCUACUGGGUAGGCAAUUCGUUGCUAAAUGCUUUAGUGGAUGGCUUGUGGACUGUGCUUGUCGGCCCUAACCAGGAACCGAGCCUUGCGCUCGGAACUUAACCCAUUUUCUCGACCUGAGCUCAGGCAAGAACACCCGCUGAACUUAA
rnacentral:misc_RNA from 1 species